rnacentral:rRNA from 1 species
UACGAAGGGGGCUAGCGUUGUUCGGAUUUACUGGGCGUAAAGCGCACGUAGGCGGAUUGUUAAGUCGGGGGUGAAAUCCUGGAGCUCAACUCCAGAACUGCCUUUGAUACUGGCGACCUUGAGUUCGGGAGAGGUGAGUGGAACUGCGAGUGUAGAGGUGAAAUUCGUAGAUAUUCGCAAGAACACCAGUGGCGAAGGCGGCUCACUGGCCCGAUACUGACGCUGAGGUGCGAAAGCGUGGGGAGCAAACAGG